rnacentral:siRNA from 1 species
AGCCUCAACGGAGAUGUGAUUGAU